rnacentral:rRNA from 1 species
GAUGAACGCUGGCGGCGUGCCUAAUACAUGCGAGUCGAGCGAACAGACGAGGAGCUUGCUCCUCUGACGUUAGCGGCGGACGGGUGAGUAACACGUGGAUAACCUACCUAUCAGACUGGGAUAACUUCGGGAAACCGGAGCUAAUAACGGAAAAUAUAUUGAACUGCAUGGUUCAAUAGUGAAAGACGGUUUUGAUGUCACUUAUAGCUGGAUCCGCGCCGCAUUAGCUAGUUGGUAAGGUAACGGAUUAACAAGGCAACGAUGGUUACACGACCUGAGAGGGUGAUCGGCCACACUGGAACUGAGACACAGUCCACACUCCUAGGGGAGGCAGCGGUAGGGAAUCUUCCGCAAGGGGCGAGAGCCGAACAGUGCAACGCGGCGGAAGUGAUGAAGGACUUCGGAUCGUAAAACUCUGUUAUUAGGAAAGAACAAAUGUGUAAGUAACUGUGCACGUCUUGACGGUACCUAAUCAGAAAGCCACGGCUAACUACGUG